GAUGAACGCUGACAGAAUGCUUAACACAUGCAAGUCGAUGGGGAAGUGGUGCUUGCACCAUGGCAACCAUGGCGGACGGGUGAGUAACGCGUAAGGGACUUACCUGCAGGACUGGGAUAACAGGGGGAAACUCCUGACAAGACCGGACAAUGUCAUGGAUCUGCAUGGCUUUAUGAUGAAAGGAGACGACUGCGGAGAGGCUUGCGUCCUAUUAGCUAGUUGGUGAGGUAAUUGCUCACCAAGGCGAAGAUAGGUAGCCGGCCUGAGAGGGUGGACGGCCACAAGGGGACUGAGAUACGGCACUUACUCCUACGGGAGGCAGCAGUGGGGAAUAUUGGACAAUGGGGGCAACCCUGAUCCAGCAAUUCUGUGUGCACGAAGAAGGUUUUCGGAUUGUAAAGUGCUUUCAGUAGGGAAGAAGUAAGUGACGGUACCUGCAGAAGAAGCGACGGCUAAAUACGUG
rnacentral:rRNA from 1 species